rnacentral:rRNA from 1 species
CGCGGCCUAUCAGCUUGUUGGUGGGGUGAUGGCCUACCAAGGCGACGACGGGUAGCCGGCCUGAGAGGGCGACCGGCCACACUGGGACUGAGACACGGCCCAGACUCCUACGGGAGGCAGCAGUGGGGAAUAUUGCACAAUGGGCGGGAGCCUGAUGCAGCGACGCCGCGUGAGGGAUGACGGCCUUCGGGUUGUAAACCUCUUUCAGCAGGGACGAAGCGUGAGUGACGGUACCUGCAGAAGAAGCGCCGGCCAACUACGUGCCAGCAGCCGCGGUAAGACGUAGGGCGCGAGCGUUGUCCGGAUUUAUUGGGCGUAAAGAGCUCGUAGGCGGCUUGUUGCGUCGGCUGUGAAAACCCGUGGCUUAACUGCGGGCUUGCAGCUGAUACGGGCGGGCUAGAGUUCGGUAGGGGAGACUGGAAUUCCUGGUGUAGCGGUGAAAUGCGCAGAUAUCAGGAGGAACACCGGUGGCGAAGGCGGGUCUCUGGGCCGAUACUGACGCUGAGGAGCGAAAGCGUGGGGAGCGAACAGGAUUAGAUACCCUGGUAGUCCACGCUGUAAACGUUGGGCGCUAGGUGUGGGGGGCCUCUCCGGUUCCCUGUGCCGCAGCUAACGCAUUAAGCGCCCCGCCUGGGGAGUACGG